CACCCCUUAUUCAUUAGAUUUUACGAGGUAUGGGUAUUUCGGUUAUUCACAAAUAUCUACCAAAACGAAUAUGAUUAAUUAUUCGGUUAGUUUGUUUCAAGAAAGGUGUACUGAAAAAAAAACAUCAACUAUUCUUUAUAUAAAACGAAUCCUGAAAUUCCUGAGUCGUCUGAUGACGUGUCGAGGUUGACUACGUCUCAUUGGCGCUUACAGCCGUGAUCAGAAUAAAUAUGUGGACUUCAGUGAUAUAUCUGGAAAUUUAACUCCAACUAUCGUGAACGGAAACCGGCAUAUGAUUCAACUGGACAAGGGUUAUUUAAGCAGUAAAUGGUCCACUGGAGACACUUUCGGGGGUGUUGAUAAAAAGCAUUGGUUUUCUUACCAACUACACUCCCUCAAUCAUAAAGACAGAAAAAAUGAACGUGUACUGUGCAAGAAGAAUAGUCAAUUUCCAUAAAUUCCACACCAUGGCUGAAUAAUACUGAAA